GCCAUUUUUCAACGUGUAGCUUGGAACUCCUUGUGUAAUGAGCAAAGCAUUAAGCAAAGUUUUGAGAAUGGCAGCAGGUCCAUGCUCCUUCCCCAGCUCUAGGUCAUUACUGGAGGCAGGGAUUGCUCAACUACAGCCCCAGAUCCUGAUUAGCAUUUGAGGUUUGUACUGUGCAUGAGACGUUGAUUCCCUUUGCAGGUCUCCCUAGGAGGUAAGUGUUAAGGUUAGGAAAACUUCACAUGUAUUCUCCACCCAGCUCUUGUUUCCCUCUUUAACUGUUCUUUAUUUAUGGAAUAGACAAGGUCAGGGUAGCAGACCACCUCAGUCCUUCACCUGUCCCAUCUCUUUUUAUCCUUUUUCUCUUUUUCCUGUCAUCUUUCCUUUGCCUUUCAUAAAGAAUGUGCAGUGCCCUAGUUUACAGUCCCUCUGUGACUCACACCCCUGAGAAAAAAGCCUGUUUUGUUAUUUAGGGGUACAUCUUUACCUACUCUUUUCAGUACCAUUUAGCCAAACCCACUACCACCUUAUUUUUUUUUUUAAUUCUAUGAUUACUCCUUCUGUGUGGUGGUCCCUCUUUUACUUGCUAUAACCCCUCCUCUAGUUCCUUUCUGGCAACUGAAUCUCACUGUGAUUUUUUUCUUGCUCUUUCUCCACUUAUAUCCACAAUAUCUAUUAUACAUAUAGAUACAGUACUACUAGCAUCUCUUAUUCCCCCAAAACAAUUGUUACUUAAGGAAUGAGAGCUUAGUGUUCAACUGACACUAUUUUCACAGUGUAUUUACUGAUGGAAAGUGACUACAGUUGUUGACAAUACUCAACUGUCAUUGAAGGUCUGGUGUCAGAGCCUGGUGACUGGAAGAACAAUUUAAAGAGAUAACUGAUGCAUUAUCCUUUCUAUAACUUGGAUUUUUUCUGAACACUGCAAAGGCCUCAACAAAAUGUACAAAGGUUACCAGAAUAAAAAUGACAACAAAAAUCUUAAAAUGAUCUCACCCUAGAUGGUCUUAAUACAAAAACCACCAGAGACAAGAAGAACCAAGACAACUUACCUCCUCAAAAAUUUUUCUACCCCAUAAAAAUGCCCCCCCAAUGAAAAGGAUCUUGAUAAAAUUCCCGAAACACAAUUCAAGAGAACUGUCUUCACAAAACCCAAGAAAACAAGAAUAUAUUUAAAAAAACCACACCCACACAAAACCAAAACAAGCAAUUGGAUGAAAUAUGGAAGCCAGAUUUAUGAAAAUGAAAUCCAAUAAAGGGAAUGAAAAUGAAAUCCAAUAACACUGAAGAAAAACACAACUGAAAUGGUGGUAGAAAUGAAAAUCACAGACAGUUAAGUAACAAGUGCAGUGGAAAACCUCACUUGGAAGAGGAAUCAUGCAGAAGAUAGAAUUCACGACAUUGGGGAAGAGUUGGAUCACUGAGUGAAGGUCAAUGAUAAAGUUUAAAAAGCUUAUGAAUGAAACCCUUAAGAUCAUCAGGGCAUCCUGAAAAGGCAACACUUACAAAUGAUAGGCACAACAAUGGGAAAAAUUCCAUGUCUAUAGAAUAGAAAAUAUUUUCAAUAGAAUCACAGGAGAAAAUCCAUCCAAGUUAAGAGAAGUGUCUGUAUAGGUACAAGAGGCUCACGGAACACCAAAAAGACAGAAUUAGUAAAAAGGACACCUCAUGGCAUAUCAUAGUAAAAACACCAAAAUAUAUAGGAAGAAAAAAGUGUACUAAAAGGUGCACGAGAGAGGUCCCAACCAUAUUUAAAGGUCAACCCAUCAGAAUAAUAGUUUAUAUAUCAAUGGAAUCCUUAAAAUCCAGAAGCUCUCAGAGAGAUGUAUUUCAAAUUCUGAAAGACCCAAUUACCAACCUAGCCCAAUAUUCCCAUAAGUAGUAUCAUAAUUGAAAGAGAAAUAAAAGCUUUCCAUAGCAAAACCACACUGAAUGAAUUUAUGACUAACGAGCCAGCUCCACAGUGGAUGCUGGAGCAGAUACUUUAAACUUAAGAGAAAGAUAAACAUUUCUGAGAUUUUACAAUGAAAACAUAAACAAGGCUACAACAGCUAUUAAACAAAACAGAACUAUAAAAACACACAAAACUGCAAAAUGACAGGAAUCAAUAAAGACCUUUGAAUAAUAACUCUGAAUAUUAAUUGUCCUGUUAAAAAUACAGUAGUAGAUUGGAUUAAAAAAUAGGAACCUUCCUUUUGAUGCCUCCAAGAAACAUGCCUCACCCGCAGACACAGAAACUACCUUAGAGUGGAAGGAUUG
rnacentral:lncRNA from 1 species